CCCCAUAAAAAACCCGCAGUUAAGCGUGUUGGGGGCGAGAGUAGUACUAGGAUGGGUGCCCCCCUGGGAAGUCCUGGUGUUGCCCCC
rnacentral:rRNA from 1 species